GGCAUCCGCCGCCGCGCCCCAGGCCUCCUCCACCACCGCUGCGCCCUGGCCUCCUCCAAUCCCAUGCUCGAGGCGCACCACUCAUCUCCCUCGCACCAUGGGAUCAGGCAGAUCUCCUCCACCAAUGGCCCCUGUCAGUCCAACAUGCUUCCAAGAACCGACGGACGUAGAUUGAUUCCAUCUCUUGCUGGUAAGAAAACACACUCCUAUCGUGUAAAUUUUUAUUCCUGUGAUGCAAUCCAGUCCAGUUCGUUGUCUACCUCCGCAUGAAUGUAAAGAAAUUUGUGAUCUAUGGUCAUCUGAACUGCAGCAUGACUUGCUGAUCUUGGUCUGUAGUUCUCACCGUGAGAUGUGUCCAUUUCUUGCUCGCAAAUUGUGUGUUCACAUGAACCUGAACUUCAUGAGAUGCAAGAAAUCAAUACUGUUCGUGAGUUGCCAACAAAAGUCUCUUGUUGAUCUCUGCACCCUCAAUUCUGGCACAAUACAUAUGUAUCAGCAGUUCAGCACCACGCUCAGUCCAGCAAGAUUAGCAUUGUAUUUUUGCUUCAAUAGCAUCUUGGUCUUUCUGUCUCCAAGGUGUCAUGGUGGUUCCUCUAUUAAUUUGUACGUAGCUUUGAGACCGCAAUGAAAUUGAUCCCUUGAAUUGGAGGGCAACAUACUCAAAUCUAAACAAGUGAAAUUUAAUGUCAUGUGCGUGAUGGACCAAUUCAAUUGGAGGAAGCAAACAAAUAUACUUUCUUCCAUGCCUGGUGAUAACUUCUGAAUUAUUCAGUAAACAUGGUGUUGGCAACAAAUUCAAUAUUCUGACUAUGCCUGGGUGUUAAUUUGUUUAUUUCAUCCUAACUCAAUUAUCCCACUGUUUAAUCACCUUCAGGUUUCAGGAACUAUAUAGUGAGUGCAUUAAGAUGAAUUGGUUGUGUCUUACCAUAUCUGAUUCACCUCUAUACAUUACGUAGAUGUCAAUGAAUUUUAUGUCGUUUUGUCUUUCUGUUGCUAUGACUUGACGUUAGAUUAACGUGCUUCCAUCAAAUAUUCAUAAAGGUAUGCAGAUCCUCAUGGGCGACGAGCGUGUUCUCCCAUCAUGAGCUGAUCGUCCAGUCACCCGUGGUCGUUCAUCCAACUGACUCUCCUGUCCCAGGUCGACAGCAGCCUGCGCUCUUCCACACCGACUCACAGAGGGCAAGAACACCGACCAUCUGCAAGCAACGAGACUACUUGACCACCCCAUGCCAAACAUUGUGAGUGCAUCUUUUGGUCUGCCCAUGCUGGUUGUGAAUGACUGGAGGUGCAUGGCUGACUAAUGCAAAGCGUGCUUGGCUGAAUAAUGCAGUGCUUAGCGCUCAUAUAGUUAGAACAGUUACCAUUCAAAAUUUCUGGCCGACCAGCUUGUUGGUUGUGUCAAUAAUCUCAACCAAUGUGUGCAUACAUUAUCUGGUAGGCAUUGUGAAUUAUCAGGUUGUGGUGUGGCAACGGUAUGCAAUGUGAGUUAUCAGAAAAACAAAUAGUGUCGGAUAAAUUGUAUGUACAGAUUAACAUAAGGGGAAAUGCCGGUAUGCAGUUAUCUCUGAAAUGCCACUCCUGCCUGUGGUUCUGAAAAUGCAUUGAGGUAAUUGGUAUGUGGAGCUAGCCUGCAUAUGCAGAGCUACCCCGCUCUUGCCUCUUUCAGGUAUCCAAGUUAUUGUAAAACAAGCUUCUAUUUUUCAGUCUGAUUUGGCCGGGUGGUACAUUUUAGUCUCCUCAAACUGUGGGUUUCAACUGUAAGCUUCAUGCAUGUGUCCUGCAUCCAUUUGUGCAGUUCUUGAGGUGCAUUGAGCAUGCAUAAAUUAUUUUUUAUUCAUAAAAACAAAAACAUGUUUGAUUACUUCUGUCUAUCUGGAAUGGUGGUGCAAAGUUUUGGUCUUGGCAAGUGUUUGUGUGCCUUUCACUGUUAUAUGUUGGAUUGGACUAUAUUCUUUUGAGAAAUAUAUUGCUAUCUUUUUCAUAUUUGUCAAAUGACUAUAAUAAAUAUGUUUCUCUUGUCUCCUACAGUUCUGUGGUUUAUUAAAGUUGUAGGAAUAUUAAUCUUAGUCAUGUUCUUAGGUUUAGAUUCUUUCUGAUUUCUAAAGAAUGCAAUUGUAGCUUCAAAUCUUGUUAAUUUACUUUAUUUAUUAUCUAUCUUGUUUGUGUAACUUUCUGAUUUCUUUCCUGAAUAGCUUUACAUAAUACAUGUAUUGUGUUCCAGUUCCUAGCUUAAAAUCUAUAGCCAAACAGCAUCCUUUCUCUGUAAAAUGAGAAUGCGUGGGUUCAGCCAUUCAGCCAUUCAGUUAUUUUUGCGGGUGUUGUACCUUUUGGAGCUCUAGCCGUUGAGGCGAUCAGGAAUGAGGAUGUGCCUUAGGACUUAGGGUAUGUGUUUCCAUAAUAUUUUCCUCCUGAAGCGGAACGCUUCAGGUCCUGCUCCGGUGCAUCCAUCAAAAUUACCAGUGUCCAUUUGACCUAUUAGAGAAUGCUUGUAGAUGAACUGAUUUUUGGUACUUGAUUCAUCUACACUUUAUUUCUUUUCUAUGUUAAUAGCAUCUGAAAUAUUUUCCUUUCAUUGGCAAACUAUACUACUUUUCUGAAAGCAUACCUUGCUCAUUGAAAUAACAUGGAUCAACUUACUGCAGAUCUAUUGAGGGGGAUUUGGAGAUGUUGUCUCAAGCAGAAAAGAAGGAAGUGAGAAGUUGCUUGGACAAAUUGUACCUACAUUUUGUUUGCUUUCAGGUUUAAAUUUCUGAUCCAUAGUAGUGGUGGUAACAUGUAGAUCAUUACCAUGUAGAUGUAGUUAACUCUGUAUCAGGAGCUUACACCUAAAGUUGUUUGUAAUUCCUAGAUGUAGUUAACUCUGCAUCUCCAUAUCAUUGUUUCCACCUAAAGUUUACAAGGAAGCUUGCCACCUAAACCAUCAUUUCUAUGUUGAGUUGCCGGCUGUCAUGAGAUUUCCGUUGCAUGUAUCCUUCUAAACCAAUCAGGACCAUGGUCAUUUGCAUGAGGUCCUCUCCUUGAUGUAAAUUGCAAAAUCCUUUAGUUUUUUCAGUUUCUGUUCUUCCAUUUAAAGUUGUUGCCUCAUCUAUCUCCUUUGAGGAGGACACAAGGCCUGCAAGUAAUAUUUUCCAAAUUUUUUAUUAUUUAUGAUUGCUAAUAACCUUAUUUCUCUACAGUAUAUUCUAACUAGCUAGGCACAGGCAUAAGGAUGAGUCAUUUGUUAAAAUUAUUGCUUUCAUUAAUGCAUAAUUGGGAUCUGCAAAAUAUUGGUAUUUGUUCAUAAAUCACUUUGUAUCACUCAAAUUAUUUGGUUGCCCUUAGUUCAUGAACCAUCCUCAUUGGUCACUGCACUGUUAGGCCCUUACGUUCAUGCAUCUGCAUAAAGCUUUCAUGGUAACAUUCUGGAUAUAAUCUGGUUGCAUAAGCUCUACUUAUAUCUGCCUUUCUUCUAUAAUCUUGUUGAUUUUGCAGAUUAAUGCCAGUUUUCAAGUUUUCAUAUGUUGUCAAGAAAGAAAGAAUUUUCUUACAUUCACAAGGCCAUACCUAAAUGGCUUGGUUCAGUGUGUUGGUUUCAUAUAUUGUAUUAACUAUGGCAUGUCAAUAGUGGUGCUCCCAAUGAUGAGCUGCCUAGCCAAAUGGAGGGUGGGGCACAGAGAGAGCCACAGAGAGCAUUGCCCGAACCAUGAA
rnacentral:lncRNA from 1 species